rnacentral:tRNA from 2 species
AUUUUCUUAGUAUAUAAGUACAUUUAACUUCCAAUUAAAAAGUUUGUUCAACAAAGAAAAUA